rnacentral:rRNA from 1 species
AACCUCCGCAAUGUGAGAAAUCGCGACGGGGGGAUCCCAAGUGCCAUUCUUAACGGGAUGGCUUUUCAUUAGUGUAAAGAGCUUUUGGAAUAAGAGCUGGGCAAGACCGGUGCCAGCCGCCGCGGUAACACCGGCAGCUCUAGUGGUAACAAUUUUUAUUGGGCCUAAAGCGUCCGUAGCCGGUUUAAUAAGUCUCUGGUGAAAUCCUGUAGCUUAACUGUGGGAAUUGCUGGAGAUACUAUUAGACUUGAGACCGGGAGAGGUUAGAGGUACUCCCAGGGUAGAGGUGAAAUUCUGUAAUCCUGGGAGGACCGCCUGUUGCGAAGGCGUCUAACUGGAACGGUUCUGACGGUGAGGGACGAAAGUUAGGGGCGCGAACCGGAUUAGAUACCCGGGUAGUCCUAACUGUAAACGAUGCGGACUUGGUGUUGGGGUGGCUUUGAGCUGCUCCAGUGCCGAAGGGAAGCUGUUAAGUCCGCCGCCUGGGAGGUACGGUCGCAAGACUAAAACUUAAAAGGAUG